rnacentral:tRNA from 2 species
GCCCCUGUAGCUCAGUUGGAUAGAGCGACUCUCUCCUAAAGAGUAGGCCGUCGGUUCAAUUCCGGCCAGGGGCACCA